AUUGAACGCUGGCGGCAUGCCUUACACAUGCAAGUCGAACGGUAAGAGGUCUUUCGGGAUGCUGACGAGUGGCGAACGGGUGAGUAAUACAUCGGAACGUGCCUAGUAGUGGGGGAUAACUACUCGAAAGAGUGGCUAAUACCGCAUGAGAUCUAUGGAUGAAAGCAGGGGACCUUUGGGCCUUGUGCUACUAGAGCGGCCGAUGGCAGAUUAGGUAGUUGGUGGGAUAAAAGCUUACCAAGCCUACGAUCUGUAGCUGGUCUGAGAGGACGAUCAGCCACACUGGGACUGAGACACGGCCCAGACUCCUACGGGAGGCAGCAGUGGGGAAUUUUGGACAAUGGGCGCAAGCCUGAUCCAGCAAUGCCGCGUGCAGGAUGAAGGCCUUCGGGUUGUAAACUGCUUUUGUACGGAACGAAAAGUCUUGGGUUAAUACCCUGGGAUCAUGACGGUACCGUAAGAAUAAGCACCGGCUAACUACGUG
rnacentral:rRNA from 1 species